AACGAACGCUGGCGGCAUGCCUAACACAUGCAAGUCGAACGAGACCAUCGGGUCUAGUGGCGCACGGGCGCGUAACGCGUGGGAACCUGCCCUUAGGUUCGGAAUAACUCCCCGAAAGGGGUGCUAAUACCGGAUAAUGUCUUCGGACCAAAGAUUUAUCGCCUUUGGAUGGGCCCGCGUUGGAUUAGCUAGUUGGUAGGGUAAAAGCCUACCAAGGCGACGAUCCAUAGCUGGUCUGAGAGGAUGAUCAGCCACACUGGGACUGAGACACGGCCCAGACUCCUACGGGAGGCAGCAGUGGGGAAUAUUGGACAAUGGGCGAAAGCCUGAUCCAGCAAUGCCGCGUGAGUGAUGAAGGCCUUAGGGUUGUAAAGCUCUUUUACCCGGGAUGAUAAUGACAGUACCGGGAGAAUAAGCUCCGGCUAACUCCGUG
rnacentral:rRNA from 1 species